rnacentral:rRNA from 1 species
GAUGAACGCUGGCGGCGUGCCUAAUACAUGCAAGUCGAGCGAACGGACGAGAAGCUUGCUUCUCUGAUGUUAGCGGCGGACGGGUGAGUAACACGUGGAUAACCUACCUAUAAGACUGGGAUAACUUCGGGAAACCGGAGCUAAUACCGGAUAAUAUUUUGAACCGCAUGGUUCAAAAGUGAAAGACGGUCUUGGUGUCGCUUAUAGAUGGAUCCGCGCUGCAUUAGCUAGUUGGUAAGGUAACGGCUUACCAAGGCAACGAUGCAUAGCCGACCUGAGAGGGUGAACGGGCAAAGUGGGAAGGAGAGACGGCACAGACUCCUACGGGAGGAAGAAGUGGGGAAUAUUGCACAAUGGGCGGAAGCCUGAUGCAGCAACGCAGAGUGCGGGAUGACGGCCUUAGGGUGGUAAAACGCUUGCGCAUGUGACGAAGCGUGAGUGACGGUAAUGGGUAAAGAAGCACAGGAUAACUACGGG